AACGAACGCUGGCGGCAUGCCUAACACAUGCAAGUCGAACGAGACCUUCGGGUCUAGUGGCGAACGGGUGCGUAACGCAUGGGAACCUUCCCUUAGGUUCGGAAUAACUCCCCGCAAGGGGUGCUAAUACCGGAUAAUGUCUUCGGACCAAUGAUUUAUCUCCUCUGGAUGGGCCCGCGUUGGAUUAGCUAGUUGGUAGGGUAAAAGACUACCCAGGCGACGAUCCAUAGCUGGUCUGAGAGGAUGAUCAGCCACACUGGGACUGAGACACGUCCCAGACUCCUACGGGAGGAAGCAGUGGGGAAUAUGGGACGAUGGGCGAAAGACUGAGCCAGCAAUGCCGUGUGAGUGAUGAAGGCCUUAGGGUUGUAAAGCUCUUUUACCCGGGAUGAUAAUGACAGUACCGGGAGAAUAAGCGCCGGCUAACUACGUG
rnacentral:rRNA from 1 species